rnacentral:rRNA from 1 species
GAUGAACGCUGGCGGCGUGCCUAAUACAUGCAAGUCGAGCGAACAGACUAGGAGCUUGCUCCUCUCGGGUUAGCGGCGGACGGGUGAGUAACGCGUGGAUAACCUACCUAUUAGACGGGGAUAACUACGGGAAACCGGAGCUAAUACCGCAUAAUAGACGAUACCGCAUGAUUCAGUUGUGAAAGAUGCUAUUGCAGCCAUAAAUAGAUGAACCCGGGUCUCUUAAGUAGGUGGGUAGGUUACCGGCUUACCAAGGCGACGAACCUUAGCCGCCCUGGAGGGGUGAUCGGCCACCCUGGAACUGGGACACGGCCCAGACCCCUCCGGGGGGCAGCGGUGGGGAAUCUUCCGCAAUGGGGCAAAGCCUGCCGGAGCACCGCCCGGUGGGUGAUGAAGGUUUUCGGAUCGUAAAACUCUUUUAUUGGGGAAAACCAAUUGUGUAGGUAACUAUGCACGCCUUGACGGUACCUUAUCAGAAAGCCACGGCUAACUACGUG